UACGUAGGUGGCAAGCGUUGUCCGGAUUUACUGGUCGUAAAGAGCGCGCAGGCGGUCGUUCAAGUCGCGUGUGAAAGCCCCCGGCUCAACUGGGGAGGGUCACGCGAUACUGAUCGACUCGAAGGCAGGAGAGGGAAGUGGAAUUCCCGGUGUAGUGGUGAAAUGCGUAGAUAUCGGGAGGAACACCAGUGGCGAAGGCGACUUCCUGGCCUGUUCUUGACGCUGAGGCGCGAAAGCCAGGGGAGCAAACGGG
rnacentral:rRNA from 1 species